rnacentral:rRNA from 1 species
UACGAAGGGGACUAGCGUUGUUCGGAAUCACUGGGCGUAAAGCGCACGUAGGCGGAUUUGUAAGUCAGGGGUGAAAUCCCGGGGCUCAACCUCGGAACUGCCUUUGAUACUGCGAGUCUUGAGUCCGAUAGAGGUGGGUGGAAUUCCUAGUGUAGAGGUGAAAUUCGUAGAUAUUAGGAAGAACACCAGUGGCGAAGGCGGCCCACUGGAUCGGUACUGACGCUGAGGUGCGAAAGCAUGGGGAGCAAACAGG